rnacentral:rRNA from 1 species
UUGAUCCUGGCUCAGGAUGCACGCUAGCGGCAGGCCUAACACAUGCCAGUCGAGGGGUAACAGGGCGCUUGCUCCGCUGCCGACCGGCGCCCGGGUGAGUAACGCGUAAUGCAACCUACCUUUAACUGGGGAAUAGCCCGGAGAAAUCCGAAUUAAUGCCCUAUAAUAUUUAUCUAAUACAUAUUAGAUUCAUUAAAGCUCCGGCGGUUAAAGAUGGGCAUGCGUGACAUUAGAUAGUUGGUAAGGUAACGGCUUACCAAGUCUGCGAUGUCUAGGGGGCCUGAGAGGGUUGUCCCCCACACUGGUACUGAGACACGGACCAGACUCCUACGGGAGGCAGCAGUGAGGAAUAUUGGUCAAUGGACGCAAGUCUGAACCAGCCAUGCCGCGUGCAGGAAGACGGCACUACGUGUUGUAAACUGCUUUUAUAUGGGAAGAAACCUUCGAACGUGUUUGGAGCUGACGGUACCAUAAGAAUAAGCACCGGCUAACUCCGUGCCAGCAGCCGCGGUAAUACGGAGGGUGCAAGCGUUAUCCGGAUUUAUUGGGUUUAAAGGGUGCGCUGGCGGAAUAAUAAGUCAGUGGUGAAAUCUCUCGGCUCAACCGACGAACUGCCAUUGAUACUGUUAAUCUAGAGUUUAGUUGAAGUAGGCGGAAUGUAGCAUGUAGCGGUGAAAUGCAUAGAUAUGCUACAGAACACCGAUUGCGAAGGCAGCUUACUAAGCUAAAACUGACGCUCAGGCACGAAAGCGUGGGGAUCAAACAGGAUUAGAUACCCUGGUAGUCCACGCUGUAAACGAUGAUCACUCGUUGUUGGCGAUACACAGUCAGCGACUGAACGAAAGUAUUAAGUGAUCCACCUGGGAAGUACGAUCGCAAGGUUGAAACUCAAAGGAAUUGACGGGGGCCCGCACAAGCGGUGGAGCAUGUGGUUUAAUUCGAUGAUACGCGAGGAACCUUACCUGUUCUUAAAUGUUUAAUGACCGUCCCCGAACGGGGAUUUUCCUUCGGAACAUCCUACAAGGUGCUGCAUGGUUGUCGUCAGCUCGUGCCGUGAGGUGUCGGGUUAAGUCCCAUAACGAGCGCAACCCCUAUUCUUAGUUGCCAUCAGAUAAUGCUGGGGACUCUAAGGAAACUGCCUACGCAAGUAGUGAGGAAUGUGGGGAGGACGGCAAAUCAGCACGGCCCGUACGUCCAGGGCUACACACGUGCGACAAGGGGCGAUACAGAGGGUCGCUACCUGGUGACAGGAUGCUAAUCUCAAAAACCGAUCUCAGUUCGGAUCGAAGUCUGCAACUCGACUUCGUGAAGCUGGAAUCGCUAGUAAUCGCGCAUCAGCCAUGGCGCGGUGAAUACGUUCCCGGGCCUUGUACACACCGCCCGUCAAGCCAUGGAAGCUGGGGGUACCUGAAGUUCGUAACCGCAAGGAGCGACCUAGGGUAAAACC